GGGGGGGGGCGGACAAAGCCCGGCCCGGCUCCGCCUCCGCGGCCGGCAGCCGGCCCCCCGCGAGGCGGCGGGGAGCGGGGCGGCUGCGGGGAGCCGCAAGUUUUGCCCGGAGUGGGGAAAAGUUGGGCUCGGAGGCGAUUACUCCGAGGAGGGUAACGUGAAGUCAUUCACGGAAGAUUAUGGCAUUGCACGAAAGGAAUGUAACGGCGGGCCAUAAACGAACAGCAACGGGAAGAGCUCCUGCUCGGCUCCUGCUUGUUCAUCCAGCGCCUCGCACGUGACCCCCCCCGCGCCAAGGACUUGGAGUGCACGAAUGUACCUUUGGUAACAGCAGCACCUGCCAUGCCACGCACGUGGCGCGGAGAUAAGGGCAAAGACGAGUUCCCCAUCCUCUUGUUUUCAGAUUCCUGGAAAUUUGAGGAGCAGCCUUCAGCAGCCAAAGAAUGUGGUUCUCCCCGGAUCUGUGGGUAUCAGGGGAACAGAAGCAGGAUCAGUUGGAGUCCAAGAAGCACAACUUGAAGAGAUUCGGGAGCACUCUGGAGUGAACCGGCAGGAAGCCUUGUAAUACAGCUGUGGCAAUGAGAGUGGCUGUCCUCAGGAGAUGCUGCAGCUCAGCUUUAUCAUGAUCUUCUUUCUUACGCCUCCCAACGAAUGCACAAAGGACUUAAUUUUGUUCAGGAUUCGUGUGGUGUAAAAUAGUCACGGAGAUGUACAUAUGUCAGCCUGAACACUCCUCAGUGGGGCUUUGCUGCUCUCUAGCUCAGAGAAUUGCUUAGAGCUGUGGGAGCUCGGUGCACGCUGUGCGUGUCUCAGGAUAGGGAGGGAGCACGACCAAAACUCGGAGGACAAAAGAAAGCGAAUGGAAAAUAUCUGGUAAGAUUUUUCUAUGAACUGCUGAGCUCUUCCAAGUGGGGGAGGAAAAGGAUUAAAAGUGAGGAGUUUUAAAGACAAAUUGAAGUUGAUGUUUGAACUGUCAGUCCAGGAAACUCCAGCGACAAACUGAAUGGAAAGUUCCCCAGUGAAGUCCACAAAGAAUCUUCAAAGACAAAUCUGAAUGGAGAACAGCAAGGAUUUACAUCUUUGUGUACAGGAACCGAGUAAUUACUGGCAGCCGGAACAGAAACUCCAGAUUCUUGGCAGUAAAAAGGAAAUGGUCUGGCUCGGGGACUUGGACUGAGUGGUUUUUAAGUCUUUGAGGAGCAAAUCUAAUGUUUUGGAUACAUACAAUAGAACAAAUCUGUGGAAAUCCUGAGGUGGGAAAUGAAAUGUAUUGGUUAGGGCUUGAAAAUAUGUAUACCAAUAUUUGGUUUCUUUGAGUACGUUUUCAGGCUGGAAUGAUAUCUGAAAAUAUCUCAAAUGCAUUACUUACAGCAAGCAAGCUAGUGGCCUGCAGAGGAAUGUACAAGUUCCCACUUCACAUCGUGGACUUGUCAACUGAUUUUAAAGCAAGGUUUAUUUUGAUUAUUUUAACAAAAAUGCAAUUUCUGUUUUUCAUUUCAAUCUAAAAUGAGAGGAACUGUGCUGUAAUCAUCACCUGUAAUACUGUGUGAGCAGGUUGAAAAAUAUAUUUGGAUUUCAGGUGUAUGAAAGUUUACAGUGGUUCCUUGAUUGCCAUGGGUGAGAUUUUCUUGUUGUUUUAUUUUAUUUUUAUUUUUUAAUUAUUAUUUGUUUUUUUGUUUGUUUGUUUUUCUUCUUUGGACUUCUCAGCAGCAUUUUUAUGGUUGAUCAUGACAUCUUUUUGAUCUAUUUGAUGUCGCUGGCCUUGUCUCAGACAGCAUGAGGCUGGUUUUAUUCCUCUCCAUCCCUCUCUAAUCUCUAUUUGUGUCUAGCAAAGGGGAGGCCUCUCUUACGGGGAAAAAAAGGAGGCAGUAAGGAUCUCACUUUGGUCUGUUUGAGUCAAGAGUCCCAUAGCAUGCAAAGAUUUCUCAUGAGGCCUUCACAGGCUUCUUAGUAUCGCUGUUUUAACAUGUUUUCUAGUUCUGCAGGGAUGUGAGACUGAGUCAUGGGUUGUGUGCUCUGAGAUUUAUAAAGAGCUAAAAUCCUGAUAGAGCUGGUGUAAUGGGCUGGACCUGUGUGUCCUUGAAGCAUUCCCCUCCCGCUCUUUUCCCCACCUGAACUUUUAAGAGACAAUUGAAGUGUCUGGUUCCAUUUCACUUCAGGUUAAUGUGAAAGAACAAUGAAUGUGUAUGAACAUCACCAGCAGGGCUGGUUCACCACCUGCCUUAGCUAUCUAGCCUGGUAUUUAAGGGCUGUAUUUGGACCGAGAUACCAAAAGAUACAUGCAGGAGAAGGAAGCUUCAUUUUUCUUCAAGCAGGAACCACUGGCUUUUUGGUUAGCUGGCUUCUAGGACUUAGUUGUACAUGACCUGGCUCUGGAAAAUGUGUGCAAAUGUAACAGGAGUUUCCAAAAAUAAUUAGAUGUUUUUUUCAAUUGUAUUUUAAAAUCACAACCUGUUUUAAUAAUAACAUGCAGGGUUUAGGCAUAGACAAGUACUUGGUGGUUUGAAAAUAAAACCCUUUUGUGGAAAUACUCUCUA